UAGUUGUUUCUAUAAUCAUUGUAAAUUAUGAUGUAAAAAAUUCUAAUGGAUAAUGAAAGCUCUGCGGGUAUCUUAUUUUAUAAUACUUUUUGCAAGAUGAAUCUACCUAUAAAUCGGCUCCAAAAGAUCAACUCUCGCUUAGUUGAUUUUUUGAAAGAUUCCAUAUCCAUCGAAGGUGAUGUGGCCUUGCCUGUGACUACGGGGCACGCCCCAAGGCAAGCCACAGUCAUAAUUGACUUCCUAGUGGU
rnacentral:lncRNA from 1 species